UUUUAAAGAUGAGAGCAGGACUCUUUCACAGGGACUGAAAGUCUGACAGGACAUUGGGAAGAUGACACCAGUGUAUCUUCAGUCCCUAGAGUCUUGUACAGGCAAGUGCAACUCCCCUUCCAACAAAGAGGCCAUCGCAAAAACCAGCCCGUAACCCACACCACCUCCCCAGCGUUUACGGCUCAAGGAGCAGCAUGAAGAGGGAUGGAAAGGCUGUAAGAGCCAGGACCUCCAAAAGUCUGCUCUGAAACGCUCUCCCAGAGACGGCUGCACACACAAGACCAGAACAAGGGCAAUUUCAAUGGCUAUGGUAACCUGCAGCAGGGAAGAAACCGUGGGAUCCCAUCCCUAGGUGAAGAACUACAGGGACUACUCGAUCCUGGGGGAAAGAGAAUUCGUCUCUUCCAGGAGUGAGCUCAUGUACUGCUGCCAGUGCUGAGUGCCCAGGCCUGAAGCCACAGACACACAAACAACAAAGCUGGACUCAGCACAGUGCUAUACAUCCGAUCCACACGCAUAUAUACGGUAUUUAACACAGCAACCAAAGAAAGAAAGGCUGCAACUCUCCCUCUCAAGGAAGACACCUGAGGGUCUGGAAGUACAAAAAACUUUAUUGUUGCUGUUGUCAGAGGUCACACAGAAGAUCUCAGCAUAUGAACCUAUGUUCCAAAGAGGAUGGCACGGCAGAGCACCGGGAAGCUGGGCGACACCUCACGGUAAGAGGACGUGUUUCAGUCACUCGAUGCUCAGCCAAUACAGAGAAGCAAGGGAAAGCAGCAAACUGAAAUAUCGUAAAGCAAAUGCUAUUAAAAGUGUGCUGUGCCAUUAGAGCCCUAACUGUAAUACAAUU